CUCAGAUCUAAGUACUUCACUGGAGUAAUGACAGCUGCCAUUAUACUUGUUUUAGUGUUAGAUUUUAGGAUAAAAAUGUUGAAUUAAACUGCUUAUAUGCAGGUGCAAUGAGUUUUAUGUCAAUGCAAAUGUAAUGUAUACAAGUAUAAUGCAUCUAUAAAACCAUGUAAAUUAUUUGGCUAAAGACUGUCCAUUAUUAUUAUUUUUUUUCUUAAAAUGAUAGCUCUGGGCACGGUGUGCCAGAUGCUUCCGGAUAAGCAGAGUUUUGCAUUCAAAUGCAGGAAAAUUAUUUAGUUGACAAAGUGUGAAGUGAAGGUCAAAUUCCUUAGGGAGAAACGUAUUUGCUAAAGAAAAUAAUCAAGGAUUUAUGUACAAUAAAAAAUAGCUCAGGCUCUGCAAAUAAUUUGGAUGAUAAAAUCUUUGCUCAAUUGGAUAAAGGAUCUUUUUGUAUAUUUCCUUUAGUUUUUCUAUCAAGAGUUUAUCAUAGCAAUGACAAACCAAACUGUGUUGCUUGGCCAAAGUAGUCUUAAUACUAAACCCUUUCCUGUCUGGUUUAUGUUAUUUUUAGAAUAACAAUACUAUGCAACAAAAUAUGACUUAGGAAUGGAAUUAUACAUUUGCUUUAUGAUGCAUUUUUUUUCUUGUUUAUUUGUUUGUUUUUAAUUUCAUUAUAGUUUUUUAAGGCAUUAAAGAUUUGUAUUUAUUUAUGUAUUUAUUUUUAAAUUUAAGUUGCUGUACAUAUUUUUAAUACAUAGUGCCAGUCACAGGAUAAAACAGAUGUCAUCCCUCUUAAAAAUAAAGUCUGCUUAACAAUAAGCAUUUAUAAGAUCUCUUUAUCAGAUCUCUAUAAGAUCUUUAUUGUACUGGCUUUCUUGAAGAAUGUGAUUACUUUAUUGUGAUUAACUGACUGCA
ensembl:lncRNA